CAUACCCGAGCAGAGACCACCGCCGCCAACCCUCGCCGGAGCCUUGCCGCCUCCUCCACCGGCUCUGCCGCACCACCCGUACCCACCUCCACGCGGCGCUGCGCUCUGCCCGGCCACCAACGGGCCAUAGGUUGUGCCAACUGUAUGACAUAGUGUUUAGCUUUUAAGCAUUUGAUCGGAAAAUCUGAUGACCGUGCGCAUCUCAUUGCCGAUGUGUUUCAGUGUUGAGUAGAUGACAUAGUGUUUAGCUUUACUGUGGUUGUUCUGCAAAUAUGAGCUGCUCCUGUUGUUGUUUACUAGCUGAUGGUGAUAUACACGUCAUGUUGAUUUUGCAUUUCUGUAGAUUUAUCAAAGAUUUGAUUGAUUGUACCUGUUAUCUAAUAACAUUGGUAGUCUUGCCAUAGUAAAGUUGGUACCUAAUUUGCGCUUGGUUCUGUUUUUUUUUUUGUUGUACACCAAUUUAGUACUCGUAUUUUAUUUCAAAAAAUAAUGCAUGCUUUCUAGGAUGUGCUCCAAUUGUUGUUCUGAGCUGCUAUUUUGUGGAUUAUGUUGAUAUGUCAUCCAUUUAUUGUUCCCUAGAUCAUAUGUACUGUACAUAUGAUGGCAUGAACUGGACUUUACCCGGACAAUAGACAAUUAGCAAGCUAUGUGCUGAAAUUAUUUAUGUUUGGAGGGAGUCUAGUAGAACCUUCAUCUGGAGUUUAGCUGUCUGUUUCUUCUCCCGACAGCUCUCGACAAUAGGUUGGCCUGCAUCUUUGCCAACUAGUGAGAGAGAGCCAUUUACAAAAGUUCAUAGUUCUUUGCCUAUCUCUAUUCUUCAUUGUUUUUGCUGUUUCUUGGAUGAGCGUUAUUGAUGCAGAUGAGGAGACAGAAGUUUAUGGGUAAUUUGCGUCUGAGGCAUCUCUGUGAUGUCACACUCUAUCACCUUGGAGAUCUGAUGCAUCCGUUAUAAUGUUCUCCCCUUUUGUCUUCUUUUUUUAUUUGUUUACGUGAGAUGAUGAUGCCAAUAUUUGUUGAUGGACUAGUAUGCUGUCCAGUGAAUCAUGUAUUAGCUCUAUCUAAUUAUGUCCCACAGUGCUUGUUAUGCUAUAUUUCUGAGGAAAAAACCUGUUGGUUUAUCUUGUGUUGAAUUUGCUGGUUUGUUUCUUUGUUGAAAUGGGCCUGCUGUGAUGCAGAUGAGGGGACACCAGUUUUUGGUUAUUUUGCGUCUGAUUUAUUUCAAUGAUGUCACUCUUUUCACCUUGAAGAACUGAUUCAUUCCCCUUGAUGAUGCUGUUGCGUUUUCAGUACUUACCGUACAAAAUUAUUUUGUUUUUUGUGUUAAUUGAUGAGAGAUGAGAUGAUGAAUGAGAUUAAUUUCCCUAUUGGUUUGAUUGGCCGAUAUGAUGGCCUAAAUUCUGAACCGAGUCUGAUCAUUCUCUUGUUUUCAUGAAAAAACAUGUUUUCUUUUGCUUGCCUUCCUGUCUUGUCUUCACCAAUCUAUAUUCUUCCUUGUUGCUGUUUUUUAUGAACAUUGUUGGUGCAGAUGAGGAGGCACAAGUUUUAUGGGUAAUUUGCAUCUGAGGCGUCUCUGUGAUGUCACACUCUUUUCACCUUGGAGAUCUGAUGCAUCUGCAAUAAUGUUCUCUUCUGCUUGUUUGAGUUAUUACUUUUUUUUUUUUCCUUUUGAUUCCUGUGGGCGAAAUGAGGAUGACAUUAUAUUGUUGAUGGAUGCUAUGAUGUCCAAUGAAUCAUGUAUUAGCUCUAUCUGAUCAUAUCCCUACUUGUGUUUUAUUUUAUAUUUUGGAUGGAAAAUUGAUGAUUAAUCUUCUUUUCUCCAAUUGCUGAUUCCUUUCUUUGUUGAAAGGUGUGUUAUUGAUGGAGAUGAGGAAGCAGAAAUUUAUGGGUAAUUUGCAUCUGAGACUUUUCUGUUUUGUCUCUCUUUUUCACCUUGGAAAUCUGAUGCGUCCCCCCUUGGCCUUACCCUUGAUGAUGCCUGUUGUGUUCUUAGGACUUUCUUUUCUAAAAUCUUUUGUUUUGGAUUUUAAUGGGCGAGAGAUGAGAUGAUGAAUGAGAUUAAUUUCCCUAUUGGUUUGAUUGGCUGAUAUGAUGGCCUAAAUACUGAACCGAAACUGAUCAUCCUCUCAUUUCCUCAAAAUGUUUGAUUUGUCUUGUCUUUGCCAAACUAUAUUCUUCCUCAUUCUUGUUGCUGUUUUUUCGAGGAGCAUUGUUGAUGCAGAUGAGGAGACACAAGUUUAUGGGUAAUUUGCAUCUGAGGCGUCUCUGUGAUGUCACACUCUUUUCACCUUGGAGAUCUGAUGCAUCCUGAUAUGAUGGCCUAAAUACUGAACCGAAACUGAUCAUCCCUUUCAUUUCCUCAAAAUGUUUGAUUUCUCAUCUUUACCAAAUUAUAUUCUUCCUCAUUUUUGUUGCUGUUUUUUUGGAGGAACAUUGUUGAUGCAGAUGAGGAGACACAAGUUUAUGGGUAAUUUGCAUCUGAGGCAUCUCUGUGAUGUCACACUCUUAUCACCUUGGAGAUCUGAUGCAUCUGCAACAAUAUUUUUUUUUCCUUACUUCCUUUCUUUCAUUUUUUUUUGAUUCGUUUGUGAAGAUGAGGAUGCCAUUGUUUUCUUAUACUGUGUUUUAUUCUGUAUAGUAUUUUGGGGUAAAGAACCUGCUAUCUUCUUUUUUCCAUAAAACCUAUGGUUUUGUGCUCCUGUCCUGUCCGUCAUUCUUAUUUCAGCCUUGUUCUUUGUAGAAUAAUUUCAUUUAUUCAAUAGAUGAUUAUUUUUUUAGUUCAGUUGAUGGAGAUGAGAUGAUGAAUGAGAUUAAUUUCCCUAUUGGUUUGACUGGCCGAUAUGAUGGCCCAAAUACUGAACUGAAACUGAUCAUCCCCCCUGCUUUGAUACUGAAAUAAUUGGGCUUAGUUUUUUCUCUUCUGUUUUAAAAACAUGUCAAAAUUCUUCAUUGUAGAAUGUUACCAAAAAAUGAUUUUAAUGCUGAAAAUAAACCAGAAAUAUUAGGUCCUUGAAAUUAGAUGCAUAUAGGGUAUGCGCUAAGUAAGCCUCAACUAAAACUUACGUUUACUAGUUGCCCACCAUCUCAGCGCAUUCUGUACAUACUGGGCUUAAGCAAGUGAUCCAGGUUUAGCAAAGAUCUAUAUGCUGAUUUGGUGAGGGUUUUUUAGUUCUCUAGCCUCCUCGAACCUCAGUCUCACGGAUCUUCUAUUCAACCACACCAAGUUAACCAUUGGGAUCAUUGAUUUUAACAUUUCACCCUUCUGUUUGUUUCUUAUUGUUGUCUCAGUUAUUAUCUGCCUGGGGUAUGUUUGGUGAGUAAAAGAUGCUGGUAGAGGUCUGCGGCCCCUCAUUCUCUGGUAUCUAGUCAGCUGCAAAAGAUUGACAGCGAAACUGGUGGCUUUGAGAAUCCUGCCGUUGAACCAUUUGCAGUUGGAAGCUUAUCUACCGUUUGAAGUUAUUCAGGUUGAGAGUUUGGACCUUGCUGUAUAUUAGUAGAGCAAAGAAGACCGGAAGUUUUCAUGCCCAAUUUUGUAAAAUUUAUUUUACAUUAUGGGAGGAACUAUUCAGUAUCAUGUGGCAAUAAGUAGAAUGUAUGUUCGGCAUUUCUGAAUGCGACAGGAGAAUGUAAAUUGCAGUUGUACUGAAAAUAGUAAAUAAAAUGUUCUGCUUAGCA